rnacentral:rRNA from 1 species
GGGGAUUUCAACAUCAUAUAUGAAGCCAGAGAUAAAAACAAUGACUGCAUAAACAGAAGGAUCAUGGGCCGAUUCAGACAUGCGAUUGACUCAGCUGAACUCAAAUAGAUCAAAUGCAAAAAUAGAUGAUACACUUGGAGCAAUGAGAGGGAAAGACCAACACUUGAGAGCUCUCUUCCCCUCAGUUUUCCUCAUGGCCUCCUCUUCCACCUGCUCUGA